rnacentral:tRNA from 1 species
GAGGAUAUAGCUUAGUGGUAGAGCACAUGCUUAUCGUGCACGAGGUCCUGGGUUCAAUCCCCAGUAGCUCCA